GCCUGGUGGAAAGACACUGUCAAGCCAGGUGUCUGGCUCUGAUGGAGGUCCCACCUGAGCUUAAACCCUCAGCCCCUCCCAACCUGCCCUCUUCAUCCAAUGUGAAACAAGAGGAACUAAACAGUUGGAUGACAUACCUGCAACAAUCAGACACAUGUGUGGACAUAAUUGAUGUAAUUGAGCAAAUAAGAGGUGCUCCGUGGCAAAAUGUACGGUGUCAAGGUGAACAUCAGGUCUACGUUUUCAGCGUCUGUACAUUCCGAGAAACACAGUCAAGUAUUCACUGACAUCAACAAAACAAAAGGAAAUCCAAAGGGUUUUCAUCUCAAAUUGGAACGUUGGGUAAGUGGAAACGGCAUCAAUUUUAGAUUCAGGUCCUGGUUCUGUACUAACUGAAUAACCUUGGGUCCUCUUCUGACGGUCAGAUUCUUUCUGUGUUAAUCAAGGAAUUGUGCUAAUAGGAUGGCUCUGGGAGGUGACAAGAGUCCCAGCUCUGAUAUUUGCUGACCUGGGACAUUGAAAAUGGAGAUAGUAAGACUUAUCUUGGAGGUCUGAUAAGGAGAUGUGGUAGUCAUUUCUUUCUUUCUUUCUUUCUUUCUUUCUUUCUUUCUUUCUUUCUUUCUUUCUUUCUUCUUUUUUUCUCUAUAAAUGGGAGUUUCUAAUAUGAUAAAUUCUGAAACCUUCUUACAGUUCUUCAAUCUAUAAUUUUAAGCUGUGCCUAUAGUCAAUAAUGAUGAUAAAGAUGAUAAUCAUGAUAGGGAUGUUACACUUGAAGAGCCUCUUUGCUCCUGUUGUCAUUCUAUAUUGACCAAGGGUUCUACAGAAGAGAAACACACUUAGUCACAAAGAUGUGAGUCACCAAGGAAGCCACACGUUGUCUCUGCCUGUCUUACACGUGCCCGCCUGGACAUACCAUCCCCUUCCCUCAAUUUCCAGCACAUAGUCUUAGUAUCUGCAUUCUGAUCUGGAAAGUGGUCACAGCCAUCCAGGAUUGCUGAGAGGAAUAAAUUUAUUCACUUGUUCGUCAACUAUUCAUUGAGUGCCUGCCACA